AGAGCGAACGCUGGCGGCAGGCCUAACACAUGCAAGUCGAGCGCCCCGCAAGGGGAGCGGCAGACGGGAGAGUAACACGUGGGAACGUACCCUUCAGUACGGAACAACCAAGGGAAACUUUGGCUAAUACCGUAUACGUCCGUAAGGAGAAAGAUUUAUCGCUGAAGGAUCGGCCAGCGUCUGAUUAGCUUGUUGGUGAGGUAACGGCUCACCAAGGCUACGAUCAGUAGCUGGUCUGAGAGGAUGAUCAGCCUCACUGGGACUGAGACACGGCCCAGACUCCUACGGGAGGCAGCAGUGGGGAAUAUUGGACAAUGGGCGCAAGCCUGAUCCAGCCAUGCCGCGUGGGUGAUGAAGGCCCUAGGGUUGUAAAGCCCUUUCGGCGGGAAGAUAAUGACGGUACCCGCAGAAGAAGCCCCGGCUAACUUCGUGCCAGCAGCCGC
rnacentral:rRNA from 1 species